rnacentral:lncRNA from 1 species
GACAAAUGGAGCUUUCUGAGAUUUCAAAACUGGGGGGCUCAAGUUUCACAUUUGUUCAAAAGAAACUAUAAAGAUCAGUUCUAUGGGACAGUUGGGUAAGUUUCAAGUUUGGCAGACUCCCUUUUCUCUGCAUCCACAUGACAAGCAGAGAAAGGAUGGUGAAAACCUACAGGCCACUUUUGACAGUUUAAUUUAAAAGUAAACAGGCUUCCAGAUUAACCUACCUUGGGAAGGUCUUGUGAUUCAUGGUGAAAUCCUGUCCCUGAAUCUCAUGAUGAGUUCCUCAAGUUGUUGACAUACUGAUUAAUGCAUACCCCACUGACCCUGAAAAGGGUGCUGACUUAUUUCUGAAUCAUAAAGUUUUACUGAUUGUUUUACAUGAAGACAUUUGAGCCUGUAUGUUGCAAUCUGUAUCCAAUGAUUGUAACCUCUCUAUUGUAUCCUCCAAUAAGAAAGGACAAUUCUGGUGUGAAGAGUCCCUCUUCCUUCUCCUGACCCUACCUAUAAAAUCAUUCCAACUUGUAACAGACUCUGGAACACUCUCAACUUUGUUGGUGUGUUUUCUUGGGUUGAUCCUCACAUUUGGCUUUCAAUAAACUGUUAUCAAAUUAUUUAUUUCUCAACAGGCUAAAUUUUCGUCAACAUUCCGGUGUAGUUGGCAGAAUUUUGGAGUGACCUCCCUGGACGACAUAUGCGGCCUCCGACCUUUGUGCAGCUCUCCAGGAACACAUCUUUGAAGACAAAAUGCCUCCAAGAUCCCCAGUACUGUAGCUCUUCUCCUGAAGCAACUAUUUCCAGCCUUGAAAGUUAUCAGCUCAGGAGAGGAAGCACUGCAAGCAGCUCCUGGGCCCUGGGGUAUGGUUGCAGAUUCAUCACCUAGCUACUUGUUUGUGGUGUUAUCAUCUUUUUUUCCCUGACAUAUUUUGGAACUUGACUACAUCUGAUAUAUUUCUCAACAUUUCUCCAGUACCAUUCACUCCAACUCCAGAGGACACCAUGGAACACCAUUUCCUCGGCUGGAAGUGGGACCAUCUCCGGCGACCUCUGCUUCUCCUCUCCUUUUCUACUUUACAGGAGCACUUACAGAAACACUUGAAAAAGUUCCCCACUCAUAGGAGACCUGUCAGUUAGCAAAUUGUACCCUGAAGUUUUGGUCUAGGAUAUCAAAGCAUAACUUAUUUUGGGGCUGCUUUACCAGAUUGUGACAUAAUAAACUU